rnacentral:rRNA from 1 species
CUAUGAGAUGAGCCCACGUCUGAUUAGCUAGUUGGUGGGGUAAAGGCCUACCAAGGCGACGAUCAGUAGCCGGCCUGAGAGGGUGGACGGCCACACUGGGACUGAGACACGGCCCAGACUCCUACGGGAGGCAGCAGUGGGGAAUAUUGGACAAUGGGCGAAAGCCUGAUCCAGCAAUGCCGCGUGUGUGAAGAAGGCCUGCGGGUUGUAAAGCACUUUAAGUGGGGAAGAACGGGAUUGUGCUAAUACCGCGAUCCUUUGACGUUACCCACAGAAUAAGCACCGGCUAACUCCGUGCCAGCAGCCGCGGUAAUACGGAGGGUGCGAGCGUUAAUCGGAAUUACUGGGCGUAAAGCGCAUGUAGGCGGUUUGAUAAGUCGGAUGUGAAAUCCCUGGGCUUAACCUGGGAAUGGCAUUCGAUACUGUCAGGCUAGAGUAGGAUAGAGGAGAGGGGAAUUCCGCGUGUAGCAGUGAAAUGCGUAGAU